CGGAUGCUAACGCAAUGU
rnacentral:sRNA from 1 species